rnacentral:misc_RNA from 1 species
GAGUAAAAGUCGUAACAAGGUUUCCGUAGGUGAACCUGCGGAAGGAUCAUUAUUGUAUAACCGAGGUGCGAGGGCUGUCGCUGACCCGAAAGGUCGUGCACGCCCGAGUGCCCUCACACACAUCCAUCUCACCCCUAUGUGCACCACCGCGUGGGUCCCCCUUUGGCUUGUUCGGAGGGGGGCUUACGUUUUCACACAAACUUUGUAUGCAGUGUAGAAUGUAUUUUUUGUUUUGCGAUCACGCAAUCAAUACAACUUUCAACAACGGAGCUCUUGGCUCUC